rnacentral:lncRNA from 1 species
UCUCUGCAUGGUACUUCUUCCAGUCGUACGAUGUGGGUAUGGAAAUGGAUCAAUAUGUUGUGAGUACUCUACGAAGAGCGUAAGGCGGACUCCCAGUUUCAUUGCUUCCUGGUUAUGCAAGCUUGGAUGGGAAAAGAAUGACUUGACAGUGAUGACAUCUGGCAGAUGCCACCUUCAUCAUAAGGCCACAAUUCAUACAAGCCAUGGGACCAGUCGAACCCAUUCACCACCCGGUAGGACCCAGCGAGGAGAGCAUGACAUCAUUUUUGUGAUACUUCUGCCAGAAAUGUGUAUCCUGAAUCCAGCCAGAGGAAACACUAGACAAACCCAACAUUCUACAAUUUGCAAUCAUCUAAAGGGCAUGAGACCAGGGAAAGACUGAGAAACUGGUUUUGAAGAAAAUCAAGGAGACUUUGAGAACCAAACACG